rnacentral:lncRNA from 1 species
UAUAUAUAUNUAUAUAUAUAUAUAUAUAUAUAUAUAUAUAUAUAUGUUACUUGAAUUGUCUAUGUUGAUGAUUUCCAUUGUUUGGUUUGCAAUAUCACCAUCUAUUUGUGUAGAUUGGCUACUACAUAAGUUUGCAGCUAGAUGGUGAUGUUUUUGUAUCUAGAACUCUUUUCUUGACAAUUUCUUAUGAGCAAAAAAAAGCUGUUCAUAAAGAUUAGAUCUUUUAACAAGAAAAACAUCAAUUCUGAGUCUUUUAUUGUUGGUAGACCUAAAAAUCGGUGUCAAUAUUAGGGUAGAAUUAAUUUACAUAAAUAAAAUUUCAUGCUCCUUUGCAGGAUAAAUUAACAUGCCUUGCUGAAGCAUGAAACAACAAUAUCCCCAUGAAUUGUUUCCAUACUACCUAUACAAGGGAAAGUGAACUGUUAGUUGCAAACAGGAAAACCACAGAUGGAACUGCUAAUUAGUACAUCACAUUUCUUUGUCUUUAUUCAAAACCUUUGAAAUGUUAUAGUGAAGAAUUUUUCUCAUGUUUGCUGCUAAAAAUGAGAGUUAAAAAGGAGAAAUUUCCGGAGUGAAAAUUAUAUUCUUUGAUAUUAUGAAUUUCAAGUCCACAUAUUGAAGUAAUUAAUAAAUUCCAACCAUCUCCUUCAAAAGGGGAAAAAGAAAUGCACACAUAAGUUGCGAAAAAAAGAAAGAAAUUAAAAAAUACAUACAAAUAGAAGAGAUCUUACUUCAAGAAAGUACACAACCAUACAAGAUCAGCUGUAUGAAUACCAUUUUAUGAUUGGAUACCACAAGGCCAAAUCUAUGGAUGGGAAUUCCCAUGGAUCAUCUCUCACUCUUCCAUUAAAUUCAUCUUUAGUGGCUUUCUCCAUCUUUUGACUCUUAGAUCUAUCAUCAAGACCCGCUACACUCUGGCCAUCUAUGGCCUUCCUGUUCAUUUUACAUAAGCUAUACAGAUCUCAACUUCUGAACUAGUGAGUUGCUGUUUGCCGCCUUUGAUUCCAUAUCAACUAUUUAUUUUUUUGAGGAAUCCACAUCAAAUAUUUAUCUAUGAAGCCUACACNNNN